AUUGGAAGCAAUAUACUGACCCAAGUUCAUAUGCUUUGGAAGCUGGUACCCAGAUAGAUUUCCAAUUGCUUUGCUAAUAACAUAUUCAGUCUUCUGCUUGGGAACCUUAGACAACUGAAAAAGAUCAUCAGCAAACAUGAGGCGCCUUGCUCUUCUAGGUUCCACAGCAUUUAGUUGCAGUAAAGCAUGUCCAACACGAUGCAAUACAGAAGGAUCAC
rnacentral:misc_RNA from 1 species